CAGCAGGUUCUGUCGACCCCACCUGGGCACAGCUGACAUAAGCCUUCCUUAUAGUUGUGUGGGGCCACAGGACUGAGUUGCGGCCAGUGAAAUGUGGGUUGAGGCCUGAGUCAACCAAAAAGCACAACAGAACUCAACACAACAAAACACUUUGUUGCUGCUUGAAGGCUGCAGAUAGCGUUCUAACCCUGCACCGUGGGAGGUGUUUCAUCAUCCGGUUUUUCAAUUCCCCUUGGAUUCACUCUUUUUAGAUGCCUAGACUGUGACAGUGUGAGGGAAAGGCUGCUGCCAAAAGUGGAGGACUUAAAGCUGGAGGCCGCCCCAAAGACGGGGAAAUGAAGAAAACGCCGUUUCUGGAGCUCCCUGAGGGAAGCAUGAGGAAUUUCACUGCCUUCCAGCAAUUAAAUUGCAUUCAAGAAUUCUACAGUAGCCUUGGUGGUCUGCAACGACAUUUCAGGGAUUAGAUGCUCUAUCUCCUGUCUGCAGACACAUGAGCAGAACCCAGGAUGGAAGAAUGUAAUCACCAGCGUGACUCCAGUGAUGGAGAUGAACUAGAUGUGGAGACUGGGGAGCAGCAGAGUCAACUCAGUUAUCAUCUUGGCGGCCGGGCUGCCGUCCAGCUCACAGAAGCCAC
rnacentral:lncRNA from 1 species